GAUGAACGCUGGCGGCGUGCUUAACACAUGCAAGUCGAACGAUGAAGCCCAGCUUGCUGGGUGGAUUAGUGGCGAACGGGUGAGUAACACGUGAGUAACCUGCCCUUAACUCUGGGAUAAGCCUGGGCAACUGGGUCUAAUACCGGAUAGGAGCGUCCACCGCAUGGUGGGUGUUGGAAAGAUUUAUCGGUUUUGGAUGGACUCGCGGCCUAUCAGCUUGUUGGUGAGGUAAUGGCUCACCAAGGCGACGACGGGUAGCCGGCAUGAGAGGGUGACCGGCCACCCUGGGACUGAGACACGGCCCAGACUCCUACGGGAGGCAGCAGUGGGGAAUAUUGCACAAUGGGCGCAAGCCUGAUGCAGCGACGCCGCGUGAGGGAUGACGGCCUUCGGGUUGUAAACCUCUUUCAGUAGGGAAGAAGCGAAAGUGACGGUACCUGAAGAAGAAGCACCGGCUAACUACGUG
rnacentral:rRNA from 1 species